AUUGAACGCUGGCGGAAUGCUUUACACAUGCAAGUCGAACGGUAGAGGGGCAACCCUUGAGAGUGGCGAACGGGUGAGUAAUGUAUCGGAACAUGCCCAGUCGUGGGGGAUAACGUAGCGAAAGUUACGCUAAUACCGCAUACGAUCUAUGGAUGAAAGCGGGGGAUCGCAAGACCUCGCGCGAUUGGAUUGGCCUAUAUCAGAUUAGGUAGUUGGUGGGGUAAAGGCCUACCAAGCCGACGAUCUGUAGCUGGUCUGAGAGGACGACCAGCCACACUGGGACUGAGACACGGCCCAGACUCCUACGGGAGGCAGCAGUGGGGAAUUUUGGACAAUGGGCGAAAGCCUGAUCCAGCCAUUCCGCGUGCAGGAAGAAGGCCUUCGGGUUGUAAACUGCUUUUGUACGGAACGAAACGCGCUGUGCUAAUACCACGGCGUAAUGACGGUACCGUAAGAAUAAGCACCGGCUAACUACGUGCCAGCCGCCGCAGUAA
rnacentral:rRNA from 1 species